rnacentral:rRNA from 1 species
AUUGAACGCUGGCGGCAGGCCUAACACAUGCAAGUCGAGCGGAUGAAGGGAGCUUGCUCCUGGAUUCAGCGGCGGACGGGUGAGUAAUGCCUAGGAAUCUGCCUGGUAGUGGGGGAUAACGUCCGGAAACGGGCGCUAAUACCGCAUACGUCCUGAGGGAGAAAGUGGGGGAUCUUCGGACCUCACGCUAUCAGAUGAGCCUAGGUCGGAUUAGCUAGUUGGUGGUGUAAGGCCUACCAAGGCGACGAUCCGUAACUGGUCUGAGAGGAUGAUCAGUCACACUGGAACUGAGACACGGUCCAGACUCCUACGGGAGGCAGCAGUGGGGAAUAUUGGACAAUGGGCGAAAGCCUGGUCCAGCCAUGCCGCGUGUGUGAAGAAGGUCUUCGGAUUGUAAAGCACUUUAAGUUGGGAGGAAGGGCAGUAAGUUAAUACCUUGCUGUUUUGACGUUACCAACAGAAUAAGCACCGGCUAACUUCGUG